rnacentral:rRNA from 1 species
GAUGAACGCUAGCGGCAGGCCUAAUACAUGCAAGUCGGACGGGAUUCAGGAGCUUGCUUCUGAUGAGAGUGGCGCACGGGUGCGUAACACGUAUGUAACCUACCUUUAUCAGGGGGAUAGCCUCUCGAAAGAGAGAUUAAGCCCGCAUAAAAUCACAGCACAGCAUUGUGUAAUGAUCAAAUAUUUAUAGGAUAAAGAUGGGCAUGCGGAACAUUAGCUAGAUGGCGGGGUAACGGCCCACCAUGGCGACGAUGUUUAGGGGAUCUGAGAGGAUGGCCCCCCACACUGGUACUGAGACACGGACCAGACUCCUACGGGAGGCAGCAGUAAGGAAUAUUGGUCAAUGGGCGGAAGCCUGAACCAGCCAUGCCGCGUGCAGGAAGACGGCCCUACGGGUUGUAAACUGCUUUUAUACGGGAAUAAACCCAGAUACGUGUAUCUGGCUGAAUGUACUGUAAGAAUAAGGGUCGGCUAACUUCGUG